GGAAGAAUAUAAGCAAGAGAAAGGAGUUUAUGUGGUGAGAAAAUUGGCGCGUUCAUCUAAAGUAGAAGACAAUACAUAAAGACAAACUCCUUUGCACCAGAUGCACAGUGAAUAGGAAAUUUUUUGAUUUGAUCAUUGAUGGUGGGAGUCAAGAGAUCAUCAUCAGUUGAAGAGCUAUCCAAAAACUCUCUUUGACACUCGAG
rnacentral:misc_RNA from 1 species